rnacentral:tmRNA from 1 species
GGGGCCGACCGGUUUUGACAGCAAGACCAAUGGCUAUGUAAGCAUGCCGAGCAAUGGAAUUGAUGCUCGUUAAUCUCCGUUCCAACCUUUUAAAUGGCGAUAAUAAUUACGCUCUUGCCGCAUAAUCUGAAUUAUAGUAGGAUAAUGCCUCGUCUCCGCUAGGCGGAGAAGCGAGAUGUCCCUGAAUAGCCCUUGUUGGCGGCGAUUCGUAAAGGGGCACCAUAAAAGUCAACAUAGCGAUCUUAUGGCUUCGAUAAGGUCGUAAAACUUAAGAGGCUAAGCGUACGAUAGGCGGUUUUCGGUCGGUCGUGCGCCGACAACCAAACGAAAACUAAGCAUGUAGAAAGCAUUGUUAUUGCUUGUUUGGACGAGGGUUCGAAUCCCUCCGGCUCCACUU